UCUCGAUAGCGUAAAAGUCAACUCAAAUUUGUAUGGAGUUGGAACGUUUAAUUAUGUUUGCCGCUAGGGGCGCUGUUUCAACUCCAUACAAAUUUGAGUUAACUUUUACAUAGAUAUCGA
rnacentral:pre_miRNA from 9 species